rnacentral:lncRNA from 1 species
CUUCUUUCCCUUUUUAGUUUUGGGGUGCCUAUUUAGGGGUCCCAGGAUUGAGUUGCCAACCCAGGAACAAGUUGCCAACCUAAAAGGGCAUGGAAGAACCAAGAACCAUUAAGAAGUACUGAACUUGGAGUCUCCAAAAAAUCGGACUCCCUGGAAGUGUUCGGGCUGUGGCUAGAGAGCCAACUGUUGAGGACAUCAUAAGAUUCUAAUGUGAAGACCUAUGGUUUCCUGAGAAUCUGCUAUGUGCCAGGCACUCUGCUAAAAGCCAGAGACAAUCAACACCAUAAGACAUGGCAAAAUAAAUGAACAAAUAAAUAAAAUAAAAGCCAGAGACAAAAAUUAAUGAUAUGAUUAUUAUUCCCCAAUAAUUACCUAAUAUCAAAUAAUGCUUACUUCGUACCAGACACCAUCCAAAGCAGUUUACAUACAUUAUGACAUUCCAUUCUCAAAAUAGUUAUGAGGGAAUGGUACUAUUACAUUCCUAUUUUCAUAAAUGACACACACCACUCAUACAUGUUGAAGUCUGAAGUUGAACCUGACAAAGGGUGUGUGCACCAGCACGGGGACAGAAGUGGAGGCUCACCUCACAGACCGUGGAGGCUUCUUCCCCGCUAGGACUCUAUCUCAUGCAGACUGCAAUCUUGACUCUGUAUUGAUUCAGCGGCAGCGCCUACAGAAAGGUCUGGGAGUGGGCGCACUGGACAUUGCAUGAAGGAGUUGGAUUAAAAGAACCAGUUGGCCCCACCAAUCUGGUAACUGUUUGGUCUUCAUAGGAUCUUCCUGAAGGCUGUACAACUUUGGUGUCCCAUAUGAUAGCCACUAGCCACAUGUGACUGUUGAGCAAUUGCAAUGUGGCUAGUCCAAAUGGAGAUGUGCUGGAAGUAGAAAUUACACAUUGGGUUAUGAAAAAAAAAAGUAAAAUGUAUCAUUUGUAGUUUUUAUAUUAAGGAUAUGCUGAAAUGGUAAUAUUCUAGGUAUAUUGGGUUGAAUAAAAUAUAUUAUUUAAAUAGUUUUAUUAAGACAUAAUGCACCAUUUAAGAUGUACACUCCCUUAUGCUUUUAGCAUAUUUACAGAGUUAUGCAUCCAUCACCACAAUCAAGUUUAGAACAUUUUCAUGACCUCAAGAAGGAACCUCGCACCCUUAGCUACCACUUCCCAGUCCUCUCAUCUCCCUGACCCCUUCUGCUAGGCAACCACUAAGCUGCUUUCUGUCUCUAUGGAUUUGUCUACUCUGGAGAUUUCAUGUGAAUGGAAUCAUAAAAUACGUGAUACUUUGUGCCUGGUUUCUUUCACUUAGAAUAAUGUUUUAAAAGUUCAUCCAUGUUGUAGCAUGUAUCAGUACUUCAUUCCUUUUUAUUGUGUAUAAUAUUCUGUUGUGUGGAUAUAUACCAAGUUUUAUUUAUUCAUUCAUUGUCAACGUUG